AUGUCGUGAUGAGGACACUUCUGGAGGAGAUCUCUGAAUCUAUCCCAACCCUCAUGAAAAGGCUCCUCAGGUCUUUGAGCAAAACGGGUAAUGGCAUUUCGAUACU